AGUGAACGCUGGCGGUAGGCCUAACACAUGCAAGUCGAACGGCAGCACAGUAAGAGCUUGCUCUUACGGGUGGCGAGUGGCGGACGGGUGAGGAAUACAUCGGAAUCUACUUUUUCGUGGGGGAUAACGUAGGGAAACUUACGCUAAUACCGCAUACGACCUACGGGUGAAAGCAGGGGAUCUUCGGACCUUGCGCGAUUGAAUGAGCCGAUGUCGGAUUAGCUAGUUGGCGGGGUAAAGGCCCACCAAGGCGACGAUCCGUAGCUGGUCUGAGAGGAUGAUCCGCCAACGUUGAACUGAGAACCGGCCCAAACCCCUAGGGGGGGCAGGAGGGGGGAAUAUUGGAAAAGGGGCGCAAGCCUGAUCCCGCCAUACCGCGGGGGUGAAGAAGGCCUUCGGGUUGUAAAGCCCUUUUGUUGGGAAAAAAAAGCAGCAGGUUAAUACCCCGCUGUUCGGACGGGACCAAAAGAAUAAGCACCGGCUAACUGCGG
rnacentral:rRNA from 1 species